AAAACUUCUGGGUAUUCCCAGUAUCAUGUUUUGUAGUGAUAUAUAAACGGGUUACUCAAGCACCGCAGUUCGUAUUUUCUUGGCACAUACGAGAUUUGACGAGUACUACAAGCAGUUUACAACACAUCCUUCAAACGUACUGAAAGUUGAAACCAGAAGCAGCAAACUUAUCAAUUAUGUUUUCUUUAAAGUUGAACUAUUUCACAGUAAUAAUGUUGCUAUUUUUAGCGUCAAGUGUAUUCUCUCAACAGGAUAUCGCUGAACACUGUCUUCAGGCGCCCGAUAGAGGCAACGGGUCUGAGUUACAUUUUGUUUUCUUCUUCAAUAAGGAUACCAAGAGGUGUAGUAAGUUUGUGUACACAGGGAAAGGCGGAAAUUCCAACCGUUUUAAUUCAAUCUCCAAAUGCUUACUCGGAUGUUUGAAAUUGUAGCUCCCGUGAAAGCCCCACCCCCCUUUUUUUUAUUACUGAUAAGGUAUAGUUACUAAGUUCCCAGAAGUCUGGUACUAUGCUUCUUUCCUACAUAUUUAACAUUCUACUGGCUAUUGACGAGCAUCAAAUGGAACGUUUUAUUCUACCAUUUUGAAUAAUUUGUCAGUUUCAGUGUAGUCUGUGAGAUGAAUGCAAAUUAGUGGAAACUUAAAUAAUCAAAAAAUAAUCUAAAAGUUUUUUGACAGAGAAGUUCCUGUAUCUUUUGUAAACAGAGAUUCUGUAAAUAAACCAGGAGUAACAAAUACCA